rnacentral:lncRNA from 1 species
GUUGUUCAUAAUAAUAUAUAUAUAUAUAUCAUAUUAUAAAAUAUACUUAAAAACCCCUUAGUACUCCUGCAGGUGGAAACGGGCAUGUCUUAUGCAGCAGCAGGCCCGUGGGGGUCGGGGAAAAUAUCAUCCUCAUCAAUAUCACCAUCACCAUUUCUAAGCAGAAGCGUAAUACAUAAUAUAAUUUCCGUAUGACUUGGAAAAUAAUAAUAAAAAUAAAAAUUGCGGCGCCCACCCAGGCAGGCGGAAUUGGCAUUAUUUGUGGAUGGAUCCAAGGCUUGAAAAUGUACUAUAUAACUUGAGGUCGUCAAUGUUGCUGUAGCGGACUCGGCAGGCUUUGGACUCCACAUGCCAUCAGAUGUAGUCGUCUAUCGGGUUGAGGUACAGAAGUUAAUUAAGAAGACUUCUAUAACUCUCCAUACGGAAUUGUUAAUGCUUUUGAGUCAAGAAGGACAGCUCUUGAACUUCACUUCUCUAUGCCUUUACAUCUUUGACACGGUAUAUGAGUCUAAAGACUUCUUUUUUGCAAACUCGUCAUAGACUUGGCCUAAACAAAUCAAAAUUGCUAUCAUCAACCUUCUUGUUUCCACCUCCGAACAAAAGUAAUAUAUAUUUGUUUGCAAUAUCCCUUUUGAAAGUUAAUAACAACAGCUCUACAGUGAAAGAGAAGGUGCAAGACUUAUUCACUACACGGUAUAUAUAAAUACAUAACUAAAUAUGAUGUGGAAAAUGAUAGGAAAAAAGAGUGGGGAUGUGAGACCGUUAGGAGGAGCAUCACAAGGAUCCGUUACUCAUCAACAUAUGCAUCGAAUCAUGUGUGCAAAACAAGCUGGAUGGCUCAGAGUGAAGGGAGUUAAACCGAUGCCUCCUGCGCCGAUCUGGGGAAAAGAUAUAUGAGGACUCUCG